UACAAAGAGAACACGAGGUUUGGAUAUCAAAGUGUGCACAAAACGUUAAAAACUUCGAAGUCAACACUGGUGGCCCCCAGAGUCAGCUUCCUGGUGAGACGCUUCAGUUCUUUGAAGGAUGCAAAUGUUAAUUUUUCAUAGAACUGCUCCUUGAAGAGCUCAGCGCGCAGCAUAGUCAGCUGUCUGCAUCAAGGGCAUCGCUUCUUCAGACACUGUGUUGGUCCUUGUGGCUCACCCUGACUUCUUUCAAUCCUCCCUAAGACUGGAUGGCUCCAACAGGGCUCUCAUUACCACAUGCGAGCCCGCUGGGCAGAGAACCCUUCAGUUCACAACGAUCUCUAAGUUAAAGUAUGGUCAACCUUAAGCUGGAGCAAAUCUCUGCUGCCGUGGUUGUCUCUGGAAGGUUGGAGUUCCUCAUAGGAGCUGACUCACCCGGGAGGGCUCUCUACGUACUGUGGAACUCUCAGGUGAUGUCAGUGGUGACUAGGAGAUGUGUGGAAAACGAAUUGAUUACAACUGAAUUAUAAAAACAAUGACCUGGCAGAGGUUAGUACAAAUAUGACCUUGUCUGAAAUGUCAUAUG